rnacentral:rRNA from 1 species
AUUGAACGCUGGCGGCAGGCCUAACACAUGCAAGUCGAACGGUAACAGAAAGCAGCUUGCUGCUUUGCUGACGAGUGGCGGACGGGUGAGUAAUGUCUGGGAAACUGCCUGAUGGAGGGGGAUAACUACUGGAAACGGUAGCUAAUACCGCAUAACGUCGCAAGACCAAAGAGGGGGACCUUCGGGCCUCUUGCCAUCGGAUGUGCCCAGAUGGGAUUAGCUUGUUGGUGGGGUAACGGCUCACCAAGGCGACGAUCCCUAGCUGGUCUGAGAGGAUGACCAGCCACACUGGAACUGAGACACGGUCCAGACUCCUACGGGAGGCAGCAGUGGGGAAUAUUGCACAAUGGGCGCAAGCCUGAUGCAGCCAUGCCGCGUGUAUGAAGAAGGCCUUCGGGUUGUAAAGUACUUUCAGCAGGGAGGAAGGGAGUAAAGUUAAUACCUUUGCUCAUUGACGUUACCCGCAGAAGAAGCACCGGCUAACUCCGUG